GAGUUUGAUCCUGGCUCAGGACGAACGCUAGCGGCAUGCCUUAAGCAUGCAAGUGGGACGAGCUCCGCAAGGGGCUAGUCGCGAACGGCUGAGUAACACGUAGGAACCUACCCUUUGGUGUGGAAUACCUCGUCGAAAGACGAGCUAAUACCGCAUAAGAUCGCAAGAUGAAAGCGCUUAACCGCGCGCCGAAGGAGGGGCCUGCGACCUAUCAGCUAGUUGGUAGGGUAAUGGCCUACCAAGGCUACGACGGGUAGGGGACGUGAGAGCGUGACCCCCCAGAAUGGGACUGAGACACGGCCCAUACACCUACGGGUGGCAGCAACUGGGAAUCGUGCGCAAUGGACGAAAGUCUGACGCCGCGAUGCCGCGUGAAGGAUGAAGGCAUUCGUGUUGUAAACUUCUUUUGCCAAGUGGUAAGAAACUUGGAGAAUAAGCACCGGCUAACUCCGUGCCAGCAGCAGCGGUAAUACGGAGGGUGCAAGCGUUGUCCGGAUUUAUUGGGCGUAAAGAGUUCGUAGGCGUCUCACCGCAUCUUGUUUUAAAUACCAGAGCUCAACUUUGGAAGGGGACAAGAGAUGGGUGGGAUUGAAGAAUAUAGGGGCUACUGGAACUAUCGGUGUAGGAGUGAAAUCCGUUGAUAUCGAUAGGAACACCUAGGGCGAAGGCAAGUAGCUGGGUAUUUUUUGACGCUGAGGAACGAAAGCCAGGGUAGCGAAAGGGAUUAGAGACCCCUGUAGUCCUGGCCGUAAACUAUGCUCGCUAGCGAUCUGUUCUUUAUUGAAUGGGUCGCGCAAGCU
rnacentral:rRNA from 1 species